AGAGUUUGAUCAUGGCUCAGAUUGAACGCUGGCGGCAGGCCUAACACAUGCAAGUCGAGCGGAUGAAGGGAGCUUGCUCCUGGAUUCAGCGGCGGACGGGUGAGUAAUGCCUAGGAAUCUGCCUGGUAGUGGGGGAUAACGUCCGGAAACGGGCGCUAAUACCGCAUACGUCCUGAGGGAGAAAGUGGGGGAUCUUCGGACCUCACGCUAUCAGAUGAGCCUAGGUCGGAUUAGCUAGUUGGUGGGGUAAAGGCCUACCAAGGCGACGAUCCGUAACUGGUCUGAGAGGAUGAUCAGUCACACUGGAACUGAGACACGGUCCAGACUCCUACGGGAGGCAGCAGUGGGGAAUAUUGGACAAUGGGCGAAAGCCUGAUCCAGCCAUGCCGCGUGUGUGAAGAAGGUCUUCGGAUUGUAAAGCACUUUAAGUUGGGAGGAAGGGCAGUAAGUUAAUACCUUGCUGUUUUGACGUUACCAACAGAAUAAGCACCGGCUAACUUCGUGCCAGCAGCCGCGGUAAUACGAAGGGUGCAAGCGUUAAUCGGAAUUACUGGGCGUAAAGCGCGCGUAGGUGGUUCAGCAAGUUGGAUGUGAAAUCCCCGGGCUCAACCUGGGAACUGCAUCCAAAACUACUGAGCUAGAGUACGGUAGAGGGUGGUGGAAUUUCCUGUGUAGCGGUGAAAUGCGUAGAUAUAGGAAGGAACACCAGUGGCGAAGGCGACCACCUGGACUGAUACUGACACUGAGGUGCGAAAGCGUGGGGAUCAAACAGGAUUAGAUACCCUGGUAGUCCACGCCGUAAACGAUGUCGACUAGCCGUUGGGAUCCUUGAGAUCUUAGUGGCGCAGCUAACGCGAUAAGUCGACCGCCUGGGGAGUACGGCCGCAAGGUUAAAACUCAAAUGAAUUGACGGGGGCCCGCACAAGCGGUGGAGCAUGUGGUUUAAUUCGAAGCAACGCGAAGAACCUUACCUGGCCUUGACAUGCUGAGAACUUUCCAGAGAUGGAUUGGUGCCUUCGGGAACUCAGACACAGGUGCUGCAUGGCUGUCGUCAGCUCGUGUCGUGAGAUGUUGGGUUAAGUCCCGUAACGAGCGCAACCCUUGUCCUUAGUUACCAGCACCUCGGGUGGGCACUCUAAGGAGACUGCCGGUGACAAACCGGAGGAAGGUGGGGAUGACGUCAAGUCAUCAUGGCCCUUACGGCCAGGGCUACACACGUGCUACAAUGGUCGGUACAAAGGGUUGCCAAGCCGCGAGGUGGAGCUAAUCCCAUAAAACCGAUCGUAGUCCGGAUCGCAGUCUGCAACUCGACUGCGUGAAGUCGGAAUCGCUAGUAAUCGUGAAUCAGAAUGUCACGGUGAAUACGUUCCCGGGCCUUGUACACACCGCCCGUCACACCAUGGGAGUGGGUUGCUCCAGAAGUAGCUAGUCUAACCGCAAGGGGGACGGUUACCACGGAGUGAUUCAUGACUGGGGUGAAGUCGGAACAAGGUAGCCGUAGGGGAACCUGCGGCUG
rnacentral:rRNA from 1 species